UACGGAGGGGGCUAGCGUUGUUCGGAAUUACUGGGCGUAAAGCGCACGUAGGCGGCUUUGUAAGUUAGAGGUGAAAGCCCAGGGCUUAACCCUGGAAUUGCCUUUAAGACUGCAUCGCUAGAAUCGUGGAGAGGUGAGUGGAAUUCCGAGUGUAGAGGCGAAAUUCGUAGAUAUUCGGAAGAACACCAGUGGCGAAGGCGACUCACUGGACACGUAUUGACGCUGAGGUGCGAAAGCGUGGGGAGCAAACAGG
rnacentral:rRNA from 1 species